rnacentral:piRNA from 1 species
GGAUGUGAGUCAAGAGUGCUGAUUGG